GACGAACGCCGGCGGCGUGCUUAACACAUGCAAGUCGAACGGAAAGGCUCCAGCUUGCUGGAGUACUCGAGUGGCGAACGGGUGAGUAACACGUGGGUAAUCUGCCCUGCACUCUGGGAUAAGCCUGGGAAACUGGGUCUAAUACUGGAUAUGACCUUUCUCCUUAUGGGGUUUGGUGGAAAGUUUUUCGGUGUAGGAUGAGCCCGCGGCCUAUCAGCUUGUUGGUGGGGUGAUGGCCUACCAAGGCGACGACGGGUAGCCGGCCUGAGAGGGUGAUCGGCCACAUUGGGACUGAGAUACGGCCCAGACUCCUACGGGAGGCAGCAGUGGGGAAUAUUGCACAAUGGGCGGAAGCCUGAUGCAGCGACGCCGCGUGAGGGAUGACGGCCUUCGGGUUGUAAACCUCUUUCGGCAGGGACGAAGCGUAAGUGACGGUACCUGCAGAAGAAGCACCGGCUAACUAUGU
rnacentral:rRNA from 1 species